rnacentral:rRNA from 1 species
CCAAUCGGCGGCAUCCUUGCUGGGAGGCUCGGCAGCGGAGCCUCGAACCUUAGUACGCUGAUGGCCUGCCUGAUGGAAGGUCUGAGGCUCCGGUCAUGGGCAGUGCACCAGAGCCCGACGACGAUCACGCGCUCCAUUUCCUGGAAGUCGAACUCCCCGAUCAGCCGUGGGUCGGCGGCGUCAAGGACUCUUCCCUGGCUGUACAACUCCGACACCCGUUGA